UACAGAGGGGGCAAGCGUUAUUCGGAAUUAUUGGGCGUAAAGGGCGCGUAGGCGGCUUGACAAGUGGCGGGUGAAAUCCCUCGGCUUAACCGAGGAACUGCCUGCCAGACUGUCUUGCUUGAGACCGGGAGAGGUGAGUGGAAUUCCCAGUGUAGCGGUGAAAUGCGUAGAUAUUGGGAGGAACACCAGUGGCGAAGGCGGCUCACUGGACCGGAACUGACGCUGAGGCGCGAAAGUGUGGGGAGCGAACAGG
rnacentral:rRNA from 1 species